GCGAGUGUUAAGAAAGGUAUUUUUUUGCUGCGCUGGAGCGUACAGGCAAUAUUAUCAGCGACAUCAUCUGGUGCAGGUUCCGGAGGAUUUUCUCGAUCUGCUUGGAUCCGGCAAGGUGACCAUUUUUUGGUACCGCGUGGUUUCGCAAUUUGGACAAAAAUCCAGCGCCGGUCGUGAGUGACGUUAAAAAAAAAUCAUCGGCCAAAUUGUGGCGUGAGGAAAUUUCGUGGCAAAUUGAAGCCAUCCGGAAACCGCAAGCGAGUCGCUUGAAUCUUGAAUCUAUUGGCAAGCGUGUUGGUCUGGCAAGUGUUCCAUGCCUAUUGCGGCGGUUAUUGUCAUCCGGACGAAAGCAGUUUUAUAGAGCAGGAACGUGAUUUAGAAACCCUUGGCCGUUGUGCAAGUUUACGGAUUAUUUGGCGUAUUCCGGUACUGAAGAUCGCGAUCGGCUCAGCAUUGAUCUCGGCCCACAGGGGGCAGAUUAGAAUCGCUGACAAAACAGAACACAGGCGCAAUGUGGCGCUUCAGAUGGAGGGAUACACAUCUAGGCCUAAUCAAGGCAAAAAGAGACAAUACGAGGACUCCGAAGACGACGAACCAUUCCGGGGAUUCUCCGUGGUACCGCCUCCGGCUAGAAGCGAGGCACAUCCAGAUGUUUUGCGAGAAAAAGACCCUGCGGGAUCGAAUCAUGAAAUCAAUCCAAAUGGUACAACGAGAAAUCGCUUGCGAAGAUCAACACGAGCAAGAAAAAAGAAGUUUGAUGGGAAUUAUUUGUAUUUUAAAUAAUAUGAUUGCUUUGUUUGAAUUGAGAUAUUCAGUCGAGAAGUUAAAUUAAUAGGAAGAAAGUUUCCAUUCUGAAAAGUAAUAAUAUUGUAAGAAACAAGAAUUACUUAGAAGUUUAGUAGACUGUUCGAAUUGCUUAAAGGGAAAGGUAUUGUAAUGAACUAAGUUAUUCACUGAACUGUAUUUACUGUGUACAUAGUAGGUUAAAUCAAGGUGGGCGUAGAAGAUUGAUUCCACCUUAUAUACAAAACGUCAACAUUGUAAACUGUGUAAAUAGAAGGUUUGCUAGAUCGAAAAAUAAAAUCGUUCGUUCUCUUUAGAACCGACUAGCUAACAGUUAACACCGUCUUUUCGA